UCCUUCUAGGAUGAACAAAAAAUCAAAAUUUCGUUCUUCUGAGCUGUUUCAUGUGGAUAAAUAUUGGAGACAUGAAUUGAGAAGGC
rfam:Glycine max cultivar Williams 82 chromosome 18, whole genome shotgun sequence.